rnacentral:rRNA from 1 species
AACGAACGCUGGCGGCAUGCCUAACACAUGCAAGUCGAACGAGACCUUCGGGUCUAGUGGCGCACGGGUGCGUAACGCGUGGGAACCUGCCCUUAGGUUCGGAAUAACUCCCCGAAAGGGGUGCUAAUACCGGAUAAUGUCUUCGGACCAAAGAUUUAUCGCCUUUGGAUGGGCCCGCGUUGGAUUAGCUAGUUGGUAGGGUAAAAGCCUACCAAGGCGACGAUCCAUAGCUGGUCUGAGAGGAUGAUCAGCCACACUGGGACUGAGACACGGCCCAGACUCCUACGGGAGGCAGCAGUGGGGAAUAUUGGACAAUGGGCGAAAGCCGGAUCCAGCAAUGCCGCGGGAGUGAUGAAGGCCUUAGGGUUGUAAAGCUCUUUUACCCGGGAUGAUAAUGACAGUACCGGGAGAAUAAGCUCCGGCUAACUCCGU